UUUUUUUUUUUUUUUUUUUUUUUUUUUUUUUUUUUUUUUCCAUCCCCAGAUUCAAGUAAAGCACUUCUUACACCAAAACCAGGCUUUGAGUGUAGGAACGUGCCCAGGAUGGAGCAGAGGUGACAGCCAAGUGAGUCCCGCUUCAAGAAGCACUGUUUGGUGGUCUGUUGCCUUUGCCUGGGGUAGAAGGGUUGUGCACAGCAGCAAGAUUAGAUCCAAGAGCAGACUGGAGAUCUCUGUGGUGGGCCUGGGUCUGUGGAUAGCUAAAUAAAGAUGUUCCAGUGCAAGAGCA